rnacentral:rRNA from 1 species
UGGGGAAUAUUGGACAAUGGGCGAAAGCCUGAUCCAGCAACGCCGCGUGAGGGAUGACGGCCUUCGGGUUGUAAACCUCUUUCAGCAGGGACGAAGCGCAAGUGACGGUACCUGCAGAAGAAGCACCGGCCAACUACGUGCCAGCAGCCGCGGUAAUACGUAGGGUGCGAGCGUUGUCCGGAAUUAUUGGGCGUAAAGGGCUCGUAGGCGGUUUGUCGCGUCGGGAGUGAAAACUCAGGGCUUAACCCUGAGCCUGCUUCCGAUACGGGCAGACUAGAGGUAUGCAGGGGAGAACGGAAUUCCUGGUGUAGCGGUGAAAUGCGCAGAUAUCAGGAGGAACACCGGUGGCGAAGGCGGUUCUCUGGGCAUUACCUGACGCUGAGGAGCGAAAGUGUGGGGAGCGAACAGGAUUAGAUACCCUGGUAGUCCACACCGUAAACGUUGGGCGCUAGGUGUGGGACUCAUUCCACGAGUUCCGUGCCGCAGCUAACGCAUUAAGCGCCCG